rnacentral:rRNA from 1 species
GACGAACGCUGGCGGCGUGCUUAACACAUGCAAGUCGAACGGAAAGGCCCUGCUUUUGUGGGGUGCUCGUGUGGCGAACGGGUGAGUAACAAGUGAGUAACCUGCCCUUGACUUUGGGAUAACUUCAGGAAACUGGGGCUAAUAACGGAUAGGAGCUCCUGCUGCAUGGUGGGGGUUGGAAAGUUUCGGUGGUUGGGGAUGGACUCGCGGCUUAUCAGCUUGUUGGUGGGGUAGUGGCUUACCAAGGCUUUGACGGGUAGCCGGCCUGAGAGGGUGACCGGCCACAUUGGGACUAAGGUACGGCCCAGACUCCAACGUGAGGCAACAGUGGAAAAUAUUGCGCAAUAGGCGGAAGCCUGAUGCAGCGACGCCGCGUGCGGAAUGACGGCCUUCGGGGUAUAAACCGCUUUCGCCUGUGACGAAGCGUGAGUGACGGUAAUGGAUAAGAAAGCACCGGCUAACUACGUG